GUCUACGGCCAUACCACCCUGAACGCGCCCGAUCUCGUCUGAUCUCGGAAGCUAAGCAGGGUCGGGCCUGGUUACUACUUGGAUGGGAGAACAUACUACCAACUUUCUUAUUAAAACAAACAGUACGCGGAAACCA
rnacentral:rRNA from 1 species